CCUACGGGUGGCAGCAGUGGGGGAUAUUGCACAAUGGGGGAAACCCUGAUGCAGCGACGCCGCGUGUGUGAAGAAGGUCCUCGGCUCGUAAACCACUGUCCUCGGUGAAGAUAAUGACGGUAACUGAGGAGAAAGCCCCGGCUAACUACGUGCCAGCAGCCGCGGUAAUACGUAGGGAGCAAGCGUUGUCCGGAUUUACUGGGUGUAAAGGGGGCGCAGGCGGUCUUGCAAGUCAGAAGUGAAAGCCACGGGCCCAACCCGUGGACUGCGUUUGGAACUGGGGGGCUGGAGUGAAGUAGUGGUAGGCGGAAUUCCUGGUGUAGCGGUGAAAUGCGUAGAUAUCGGGAGGAACACCAGUGGCGAAGGCGGCCUGCUGGGCUGUAACUGACGCUGAGGCACGAAAGCAUGAGUAGCAAACAGGAUUAGAUACCCGUGUAGUC
rnacentral:rRNA from 1 species